UACGUAGGGUGCGAGCGUUAAUCGGAAUUACUGGGCGUAAAGCGUGCGCAGGCGGCUUUGCAAGUCAGAUGUGAAAUCCCCGGGCUCAACCUGGGAACUGCAUUUGUGACUGCAAGGCUAGAGUACGGCAGAGGGGGAUGGAAUUCCGCGUGUAGCAGUGAAAUGCGUAGAUAUGCGGAGGAACACCGAUGGCGAAGGCAAUCCCCUGGGCCUGUACUGACGCUCAUGCACGAAAGCGUGGGGAGCGAACAGG
rnacentral:rRNA from 1 species